GAUUCUGGGAUUCUGGAAUUCUGAGGAGGGUUCUGGAGUAAUACAGGGCACCCUUUGCCUGUCAGUCAUUCAAAUCCAUUGAAGGGCUGUGUCAUCCAAAGCAUUGCUGACUUUCCAGGUGCCAGCUGGGCUGGCACAGCUGGUUUCCUGUGGUUCACCUCCCUGGAACACCUUGCACAUGGUUUAAGCUGUUUUAUUUUACUACAGCCCCGGGUCUGACUCAGAGAACAGUCAGAUUUGGGCUGUUAUGUGGCAAAGCAAAGCCAUGAGGCACCUCAUGGCCUGCAGUUAAACCAGGCAUGAAAUUACCUCAGUCAUCCACUUGUUAUGAUAUUCCAGGGACAUUUAGCUCUGAGUGGGGCACUGUUGUGCUGAGCUCUGCACACACACGGAAUGAGGCACUUUGGGAGACAUUCCUCAGACAAAUGGAGCCAUCUGUGACAGCCACCGCCAACUCCCUCUGCAAUCAACAGGCACUUCCAGAGGGUGCUGAACUUUGGGGUGGCAGCAUUUGUUGGACCACACAGUGAAUAAGUGACAGAUGACUGGUUUUCUCCCUCUUUCCAAGUAGUUAAACUAAUCCAAGGCUGCCUUUCCUCUUCCCAAGAGAUAUUUUACACUCAGGCAACUCAAAGCAAUCUGCAAACAUGAAAAACUGAUGCCCUGUU